rnacentral:lncRNA from 1 species
AUGGGUAAUAUUCUUCAGGAUAAUCUGUCUUACUUUUUGUGGUGUUUGUGCCUGUUAAGAACAGAAUCUACACGGACAGCAUACAACAAAGAAGCACAGCUAUCACAUAUUCAUCCCUACGUCUGCUUUCAGCAGCUACCAGCCAGUUACGGGGAGCUGUUGGGAGGCUCCUGUGGCUGCUCCAGAGAGUACAGGCAGCCACUGCCACGACUACAGAGGAAGGAUGGUGGAGCAUACUUGCUAGAUGGAAGAAAGAGAUACUGCCAUUGCACAGCCGACCAAGAUCCCCUCACCUUUUAGAGGUCUCACUCUGGUCCCAGUGUGGAUCUUGCAGCAUUUCUCAUUUGUUUUGCACCACAAAUUUGCAGUUUUCUCCAUUGGCUAGUUUGCCAGAAACCUGAGAUUAGAUGCAGCAGCACAAUCCAGAUCCUAGCCUUAGCCCUGAUGGGCUCAUCUCUCAGCUCCUCUGCUCCCCAGACGAGGUGCAGACAUCCCUGCUCUGCCAAUGUAGGCACUUCUCCUCCACUGCUCAUGGUGGGAUGCAAGCAAGUGCAGUGCAAGAAGGCCUGCUCUACAUGUAGCCGCAGCAUCAUUUCCUUGUUAUGAAAUGAAUCAUACUUUCAUUCUUCAGAUUGUUACCAAAAAAAAAAAAAAAAAAAAAAAAGGAAAAGCGUGACUGUAAACUACAUUCCUUUUUCCUUGCAUUCAGGAACUGAGGCCAAAGCCAAACCAGUGCUGAACAUGGAACCAAUUAUUAUUCAAUUAUUAUUUUAUCAACUACCCAAAGAAAACAUAUCUGCCAAGGAAAAAUAAAAUAAAAUAAAACAACA